UACGUAGGGACCGAGCGUUGUCCGGAAUCAUUGGGCGUAAAGCGCGCGCAGGCGGCUUCGCGCGCCCGACGUGAAAGCCCCCGGCUUAACCGGGGAGAGUCGUUGGGGACGGCGGAGCUUGAGGGCGGGAGAGGUCGGUGGAAUUCCCGGUGUAGUGGUGAAAUGCGUAGAGAUCGGGAGGAACACCUGUGGCGAAGGCGGCCGACUGGGCCGACCCUGACGCUGAGGCGCGAAGGCGUGGGGAGCGAACGGG
rnacentral:rRNA from 1 species